rnacentral:rRNA from 1 species
UACGGAGGGUGCAAACGUUGCUCGGAAUUAUUGGGCGUAAAGCGCACGUAGGCGGUCCCUUAAGUCGGGUGUGAAAUCCCUCGGCUUAACCGAGGAAGUGCAUUCGAAACUAGGGGACUGGAGUACUGAAGAGGGUCGCGGAAUUCCCGGUGUAGCAGUGAAAUGCGUAGAGAUCGGGAGGAACAUCUGUGGCGAAGGCGACUGCCUGGACCAGCACUGACACUGAGGCACGAAAGCGUGGGGAGCAAACAGG